UCGGGCGUUUUCGACGGCUAGCUUCACCGACGCUCGCAAGCCGUUCGACGAAAUAGCACAACCGACAACCUUGAUUGCUCCGCGUUCAUGAAAAGCGUCAUCUUUGAGGCCGCCGACUGUGUUGUUGUGUUGUUGAUAUGAGAAUGCAGGUUGUAUUUUAUAGGCCGUGUGUUGUGUUGCCGGCCGUCGUGAACUAGUACGAAACUCAGUGGAGGACAAGGGAUGACCAAAGAUGUGGUCGUGUGUUAGACGCCUGACCGACACAAACACAAAUUCAAACGGAUGUGGUUUCAUUUUCAUUCUCAAAGGGAC
rnacentral:lncRNA from 1 species